rnacentral:rRNA from 1 species
GCGCUCGGUCGGCGGCGAGAGGCGGUCGCGCGACGGUGAUCCCUCCGGGGUGAUCCGCGCCGGCCGCCGACGUCCGUCUCCGAACACGUGCACUUGUCCCCUUGUAGGACGUCGCGACCCGUUGGGUGCCGGUCUACGGCCCUCGGUGGAGCCCGUGCGGAGCCUCGCGCUCCGUCCGGACCCGAGGUGUCCCGGCCGGCUCGCCCGACGGUAUACCGAUGGCGCGGGGCCGCGGCUCGAACGCGUCCGACCCUCCGCAAGUGCGGACGGUAACCCGGCGGUCGGACCUGGUCCGGCUCCGGGCCCGCCCGGCUGCUGGCGGAGGCGCUCUCGGACAGACUCCGUGCACGCCCGUCGGCGACGCUAUAGCUUUGGGUACUUUCAGGACCCGUCUUGAAACACGGACCAAGGAGUCUAGCAUGUGCGCGAGUCAUUGGGAUUGACUAAACCUAAAGGCGCAAUGAAAGUGAAGGCCCGCCUCGCGCGGGCCGAGGGAGGAUGGGCCGGAGCACGAUCCGGCCCCGCACUCCCGGGGCGUCUCGCUCUCAUCGCGAGGAGAGGCGCACCCAGAGCGUACACGCUGGGACCCGAAAGAUGGUGAACUAUGCCUGGUCAGGACGAAGUCAGGGGAAACCCUGAUGGAGGUCCGUAGCGAUUCUGACGUGCAAAUCGAUCGUCGGAA